AGCCCUUGACAUCCCGGUCGCGGAUACCAGAGACGGUGUCCUUCAGUUCGGCUGGACCGGAGACAGGUGCUGCAUGGCUGUCGUCAGCUCGUGUCGUGAGAUGUUGGGUUAAGUCCCGCAACGAGCGCAACCCUCGCCCUUAGUUGCCAUCAUUUAGUUGGGCACUCUAAGGGGACUGCCGGUGAUAAGCCGGAGGAAGGUGGGGAUGACGUCAAGUCCUCAUGGCCCUUACGGGCUGGGCUACACACGUGCUACAAUGGCGGUGACAGAGGGAUGCGAAGGCGCGAGCCUUGGCAAAUCUCAAAAAGCCGUCUCAGUUCGGAUUGGGGUCUGCAACUCGACCCCAUGAAGUUGGAAUCGCUAGUAAUCGCAGAUCAGCACGCUGCGGUGAAUACGUUCCCGGGCC
rnacentral:rRNA from 1 species